rnacentral:rRNA from 1 species
GUAGCUCGAGUGGCGAACGGGUGAGUAACACGUGGGUGAUCUGCCCUGCACUUUGGGAUAAGCCUGGGAAACUGGGUCUAAUACCGAAUAGGACCACGGCAUUCAUGUGCUGUGGUGGAAAGCUUUUGCGGUGUGGGAUGGGCCCGCGGCCUAUCAGCUUGUUGGUGGGGUAAUGGCCUACCAAGGCGACGACGGGUAGCCGGCCUGAGAGGGUGACCGGCCACACUGGGACUGAGAUACGGCCCAGACUCCUACGGGAGGCAGCAGUGGGGAAUAUUGCACAAUGGGCGCAAGCCUGAUGCAGCGACGCCGCGUGAGGGAUGACGGCCUUCGGGUUGUAAACCUCUUUCAGUACCGACGAAGCGCGAGUGACGGUAGGUACAGAAGAAGGACCGGCCAACUACGUGCCAGCAGCCGCGGUAAUACGUAGGGUCCGAGCGUUGUCCGGAAUUACUGGGCGUAAAGAGCUCGUAGGUGGUUUGUCGCGUUGUUCGUGAAAACUCACAGCUUAACUGUGGGCGUGCGGGCGAUACGGGCAGACUGGAGUACUGCAGGGGAGACUGGAAUUCCUGGUGUAGCGGUGGAAUGCGCAGAUAUCAGGAGGAACACCGGUGGCGAAGGCGGGUCUCUGGGCAGUAACUGACGCUGAGGAGCGAAAGCGUGGGGAGCGAACAGGAUUAGAUACCCUGGUAGUCCACGCCGUAAACGGUGGGUACUAGGUGUGGGUUUCCUUCCUUGGGAUCCGUGCCGUAGCUAACGCAUUAAGUACCCCGCCUGGGGGAGUACGGCCGCAAGGCUAAAACUCAAAGGAAUUGACGGGGGGCCCGCACAAGCGGCCGGAGCAUGGUGGAUUAAUUCCGAUGCAACGCGAAAGAACCUUACCUGGGGUUUGACAUGGACAAGGACGUGCCUAAAAGAUAAGGUAUUCCCUUUGUGGCCUGGU